UACAGAGGCCUCAAGCGUUAGGCGGAAUCACUGGGCUUAAAGCGUGUGUAGGCGGGUCGUUAAGUGCCUUGUAAAAUCCCACGGCUUAACCGUGGAACCGCUGGGCAUACUGGCGAUCUUGAGCCACUCAGGGGCAGCUGGAACAAGCGGUGGAGCGGUGAAAUGCGUAGAUUAUUGGAAAGAACACCGAUGGCGAAGGCACUCUACUGGGCUAUUACUGACACUCAGAGACGAAAGGCUAGGGGGAGCAAAUGGG
rnacentral:rRNA from 1 species